GGAAAAAACACUUAUCGCUUGGAUCGCGCCUCGCUCCCCGCCCCUGCUCCCCCCUCCUUACCCUCGAGCAAACUGGAAAACAGAGCAAUGGCGACGGAGGAUGCCGCAGUCGGCGGCUUGGAGUUUUUGUCAGAUCCCAUCGACAGUGGUGAGGCUGUGCUUGACGCUGCAACCACCCAAACACUCGUGGGCGCAGCCGCACAGUCGAGCAUUGCUGAUAUAGGCGAUGCGACGACGAUGGUACAACUAUUAGAUGCGAACGGCAGCUGCGAUGGAGUCAGCUUAUCAGCACCAACCUCCGGGCAGACGGCCGGCAAAGACGAAACCCAAGCCCCUGGCUGGACAAAAAGAGUACGUAUUGGACGAGCACCUCUUGAGCGUCCUUCAUGCGCUGGCAGAAUAAAAUGUAUGCAAGAAAUGUAUGCAAAAUGUGGAGAUUCAAUGUGGAGAGAACAAAAUGUAUGCAAGAAAUAGUUUGCGGCUGCUCGGGUAUACCGAAAAGAAGUAAUACAAGGUCUUGCCGGUGCAGAUGUCCAGCAAUGAUAAGGUUACUACGCUCAAAGGACAACGGAUGGUAUAUAAGCGAGCACAGGGCAUUCCACAACCACUCUCUCACAGAUAAGUGUGGACAGAAAAUAUAUUGGCCCUCGCAUAGACAUAUCGACAUUUAUAUACGAGAUGUUAUCAAGCAGCUGCGUGCAAAUAAUAUUAGCAUUGGCAAAGUCUACAACAUAAUUGGCAGUUUCUUUGGCUCCAUGAGCAGUGUGCCUUUCAGCAAGAGAGCGUUGAGGGGGCUUUGUGGACAGAUUAGCCGAGAUCAGGCAGAUGAUGACGUCAGAAAGACAAUAAAAGUUUUUGUUGAAUUGGGAUCCAAAGAUUCAAGGUUGUACUACAGAGUACAGCCAGACACGGACAGCCGCAUACGAAAUCUGUUAUGGUCAACAGGAGCAAGCAGAGCACAUUACCACUACUUUGGAGAUGCAAUAACUUUCGAUACAACAUACCGUACAAACAUGUAUCAUAUGCCAUUCGAUUUGUUUGUCGGAGUAAACAAUCAUUUCCAAAGUGUCAUAUUCGGAGGAGUUUUAGUUAGAGAUUAGACAAUGUUAACAUUUGAAUGGGUGUUCACUGAGUUUAUCCAUAUGAUGGGCGGCAAGCAUCCACAAACCAUACUGACAGACCAGUGCAGGGCUAUGGAAUUAGCAAUAGAAAAGGUGAUGUCCAACACAGCACAUCGGUGGUGUAAGUAGCAUAUCUUAAAAAAAGCAAAAGAAUCUCUUGGAGCACAUUACACGAAGAGGAGCAAGUUCUGAAUGGAGUUCCACAAGAUAAUACACCACAUGUUGACAGUUGAUGAGUUCGAGACUACAUGGAAGCAACAACAACAACAACAACAACAAAGCCUUUAGUCCCAAACAAGUUGGGGUAGGCUAGAGGUGAAACCCAUAAGAUCUCGCAACCAACUCAUGGCUCUGGCACAUGGAUAGCAAGCUUCCACG